AGGAGGAGGAGGAGGAGGAGGAGGAGGAGGAUGAAGAACGAGGAGCAGGAAGACAAGGAGCAGGAGGAGGAUGAGGAGGUGAAAGAGGAGGAGGAGGAAAAGGAAGGCUCCAGGAGUUUUGAAGAAGAGGAGGAGGAAGAGGAAGAGGAAGGAGGAGGAGGAGGAGGAGGAGGGUUAGGUGUGGCCCUCCCUCCCCCUCCCACACCACUGCAGUCCCAGCCUCUGAUUGGCCAGCCCUCAGCCAAUCAGGAGAGAGACUUUAUGGCCUUGCAGGUGGAGGAAGGCCGAAGGGAACUGGAGGAGGAGAGAAAGAGGCACAGGCUGGAGGUUGAAAACAAAAGGUCUAGAUUUAGAAUGAUGACAACGACCACAGCCACCACCAGCACCUCCCCCACUAGUCUGCCUUUCUCUUCAAGUCCCAGCGAGGAGCACCCGCCCUCCUCCCCAGCCUCCUCUCUCAACAGAUGGGAGGGCCUGGACAGACUGAGAGAGGAACUGAUGAAAGAGAGAGAGAUAGAGAUUGAAGAGAGAAUUGCAAGUGUAAGAGAGGAAGAAAGGAGGAAAUUAGAUGACGAAAAACAGUAUUACGAAUUGUUCAGGUGGUCGAAUGUUCCAGCUAUCGGUUUACUCCAGCCACCCUCACUGAGCAGAUAUGAAAACAAGAGCCGCUGAGAGGUUUGAACUAUUCGUCUGCUGCUUUUAGUGUUUGCGGUGCUGCUCCAAGUUGUUCUCUUCGCUUAUUCCAAGGCCAUCAGUCGUGGCAAGAACCAGUAAGAUCAUACAACUUCAGGCAUUUAAGUACUUCAACAACUCGAUUACUCUUUUUACUGGCAGUGGUAGUGUUCCAGAGAGAGAGAGAGAGAGAGAGAGAG